GUAUGGAAAGGAGUAUUAGGUGUACAGUGGUAGGUAUGUAAAGGAGUAUUAGAUGUAGUGGUAGGUAUGGAAAGGAGUAUUAGGUGUAGUGAUAGGUAUGGAAAGGAGUAUUAGGUGUAGUGGUAGGUAUGUAAAGGAGUAUUAGGUGUAGUGGUAGGUAUGUAAAGGAGUAUUAGAUGUAGUGGUAGGUAUGUAAAGGAGUAUUAGGUGUAGUGGUAGGUAUGUAAAGGAGUAUUAGGUGUAGUGGUAGGUUUGUAAAGGAGUAUUAGGUGUAGUGGUAGGUAUGUAAAGGAGUAUUAGGUGUACAGUGGUAGGUAUGUAAAGGAGUAUUAGGUGUAGUGGUAGGUAUGUAAAGGAGUAUUAGGUGUAGUGGUAGGUAUGUAAAGGAGUAUUAGGUGUAGUGGUAGGUAUGUAAAGGAGUAUUAGGUGUACAGUGGUAGGUAUGUAAAGGAGUAUUAGGUGUAGUGGUAGGUAUGUAAAGGAGUAUUAGGUGUAGUGGUA